rnacentral:lncRNA from 1 species
UUUUCUUCUGGGCAAAGUCGUUCCUCUUGCUGCUAUGAGUAAAAUAUUAGUUUGUUAUAUAUGUUCUCCUCGGCACAACAAAUUGCUGACUAUAUCAUGACUAAUUCUGUGAGAAUAUUGAAAUUGUAAUAGUAGACACACUACAGAAGAGUGUCGACUGUUAUAAGGCUAAAUGUAGCCUUUUUCUUUAUGUUUUUUUUCUUUUCAUUACUAUUUC